rnacentral:piRNA from 1 species
UGAAGAUUCUGAGUCCGUGUAGCCA